rnacentral:lncRNA from 1 species
AUCCCUUAGUGUGGCAUUCCCACCAUAUUUACAGAAUAGUUAUGGAAAAAAUAAAACAAAAUAAAAAAAAUAGGCCAUCUGAAGAUAUAUAAUAAGACUACAAACAAGAACCUGAUAAUAAGAAACUCCCGCAAUUAUAGCAUAUUGAUAGUACAAGUUUUAUGGUCUUCAAAUAAUAAAUAUGGUUUUUUUGAAAGAACCAUUGCGUCUAAAGCUUUCUAUUAUAAAGCAAAAGCUG